CCCGUGGUGACUAAAGUACUUUCGCGUGGCACUCCUUUCUGCGUUGGCGGUCUUCGGUUGCGCUUUUAAAAAAUAACCCUGGCCGAGCGAAUAUCCGGGAUGACUGAAGUACUUUCGCGUAGUACUCUUUUUUGCGUUAAAAAUAAAAAAAUAUAUUAAGUUUUUGUUAUAAAGUGGUUAAAGUAGUUAUAUCCGCCAACAAAAUUGCAACUUAGCAAAACGGAGCUACGAUCGAAAUGUAUGAUAGGCAGAAUUGUAAAUUUCGAAGUUGAACUGAACGGGAACGGAACGCAUGAUACCAAAGUCGCCAAACGGAGAAAAUUUCAAUCCAAGUCGAAAUGCGUGAUAGGGUUUCCUAAAAAGGGUGCGAUGACGAGACUUUACCAUGCGUGCUUGUAACCGGUGUUCAUCAAUUUCAUUCUUUCGACGGAUCUUCUUAUUUUCUUUGUGGACUUUACCAGCCUGAACACUCAUGGACAGCGUCUAAAAUAUGAUUAUUUUAAAAUAUUAAAUAUAAUUAUAUAAAAAUCGGUUACUUCUUCGUGUCGAAGUUUUUCCUUUUGCUCUUCAGGAAUAUUAUCGUCAUUUUGCUCUUCUUCAUUUUCAAUGCGAUCAUACUCCUCAAAAUCUGCUCUUUCUUCAAUAUAUGCUUUUUGUAAUUGAUCAUCAUCCAUGGCGUGACUGUCUAUUAUUUCUUUUGCUGAUGCUGAAAACCCGGUAUUACCUUCAACAUCUACAAAUAUAUAUAAUAAUUAGUAAUACAAGAAAUUUGUGAAAACCUUA